ACUCCUACGGGAGGCAGCAGUGGGGAAUUUUGGACAAUGGGCGAAAGCCUGAUCCAGCAAUGCCGCGUGAGUGAAGAAGGCCUUCGGGUUGUAAAGCUCUUUUGUCAGGGAAGAAACGGUGAAAGCUAAUAUCUUUUGCUAAUGACGGUACCUGAAGAAUAAGCACCGGCUAACUACGUGCCAGCAGCCGCGGUAAUACGUAGGGUGCAAGCGUUAAUCGGAAUUACUGGGCGUAAAGCGUGCGCAGGCGGUUUUGUAAGUCUGAUGUGAAAUCCCCGGGCUCAACCUGGGAAUUGCAUUGGAGACUGCAAGGCUAGAAUCUGGCAGAGGGGGGUAGAAUUCCACGUGUAGCAGUGAAAUGCGUAGAUAUGUGGAGGAACACCGAUGGCGAAGGCAGCCCCCUGGGUCAAGAUUGACGCUCAUGCACGAAAGCGUGGGGAGCAAACAGGAUUAGAUACCCGGGUAGUCCC
rnacentral:rRNA from 1 species